AACGGCUAGAAGCCUCUCCCCUCCCACCCCAAACUCCUGCUCAGAACUCUGAGCAAACACAAGGCAGGAGCCGUGCACUUGGCCCCCUGGGGCUUGUUCUUACUGGUGUUGUUCUGGAGUCGGCUAUGCUGCGUCUUGCCUGGCCCCACACAGGACCUUUCCCCUUGAUACUGUGAAAGACUCUGGAGUCUCUAGAAUUGCUUGGCCUCGCUCGACAGAGCCAGAUCCUCCCAUUUUUCCCAUAAGAUGCAAACAGAAGACUCCUGGACGCUGCUUCCAGAAUAAAUUUUUCUGGGAAAAAGGAAUAGUCGUAGCCAGUACAACCCUGCCAUUCCCCCUUGGUGCUGCCUUGAAUGUGCUUCUCACAGUUCCCACCUGGAAAAUUAUCUAACUGCCCAGAGCUGUCUUUCUUUGGAAGCAGAAGACUUCCAUUCCCU
rnacentral:lncRNA from 1 species